rnacentral:rRNA from 1 species
CAAGUCGAACGGUAACAGUCUCUUCGCGGGAGCUGACGAGUGGCGCACGGGUGCGUAACGCGUAUGGAAUUUGCCUUCAACAGGAGAAUAGCCCUAGGAAACUGGGAUUAAUGCUCCAUAAAACAUAGUUAUCGCAUGGUAUUUAUGUUAAAGGAUUCGUCUGGUUGAAGAUGAGCAUGCGUCCAAUUAGCUAGAUGGUAAGGUAACGGCUUACCAUGGCGAUGAUUGGUAGGGGGUCUGAGAGGAUUAUCCCCCACACUGGUACUGAGACACGGACCAGACUCCUACGGGAGGCAGCAGUAGGGAAUAUUGGGCAAUGGGCGCAAGCCUGACCCAGCCAUGCCGCGUGCAGGAUGAAAGCUUUCGGGUUGUAAACUGCUUUUGUAUAGGAAGAACCAUAAGGGUGCGCCCUUAUCUGACGGUACUAUACGAAUAAGCACCGGCUAACUCCGUGCCAGCAGCCGCGGUAAUACGGAGGGUGCAAGCGUUGUCCGGAUUCAUUGGGUUUAAAGGGUACGUAGGCGGUGGAUUAAGUCAGUGGUGAAAUGUUUCAGCUUAACUGGAAAAGUGCCAUUGAUACUGGUUCACUUGAGUACUGUAGAGGCAGGUGGAACUGGUGGUGUAGCGGUGAAAUGCACAGAUACCACCAAGAACACCGAAUGCGAAGGCAGCCUGCUGGGCAGUAACUGACGCUGAGGUACGAAAGCGUGGGGAGCGAACAGGAUUAGAUACCCUGGUAGUCCACGCUGUAAACGAUGGCAACUAGGUGCAUGCGAUACA